AGCAGCCGCGGUAAUUCCAGCUCCAAUAGCGUAUAUUAAAGUUGUUGCAGUUAAAAAGCUCGUAGUUGAAUUUCGGGGUCAGUAGGUUGGUCGUGCCACAGGUACGUACUGGUCUCACUGAUUCCUCCUUCCUGAUGAACUGUAAUGCCAUUAAUUUGGUGUUGCGGGGAAACUGGACUGUUACUUUGAAAAAAUUAGAGUGUUUAAAGCAGGCUAACGCUUGAAUACAUUAGCAUGGAAUAAUGAAAUAGGACGUUCGAUCCUAUUUUGUUGGUUUCUAGGAUUGACGUAAUGAUUAAUAGGGAUAGUUGGGGGCAUUAGUAUUCAAUUGUCAGAGGUGAAAUUCUUGGAUUUAUUGAAGACUAACUACUGCGAAAGCAUUUGCCAAGGAUGUUUUCAUUAAUCAAGAACGAAAGUUAGGGGAUCGAAGACGAUCAGAUACCGUCGUAGUCUUAACCAUGAACUAUGCCGACUAGGGAUCGGAUGAUGU
rnacentral:rRNA from 1 species